rnacentral:tRNA from 1 species
GCUCACGUGGUGGAAUUGGUAGACACGCCAUCUUGAGGGGGUGGUGUCCUAAUGGACGUGCUGGUUCGACUCCAGUCGUGAGCA